rnacentral:rRNA from 1 species
UGGGGAAUAUUGCACAAUGGGCGAAAGCCUGAUGCAGCAACGCCGCGUGAGUGAUGAAGGUCUUCGGAUUGUAAAGCUCUGUCUUUUGGGACGAUAAUGACGGUACCAAAGGAGGAAGCCACGGCUAACUACGUGCCAGCAGCCGCGGUAAUACGUAGGUGGCAAGCGUUGUCCGGAAUUACUGGGCGUAAAGGAUGUGUAGGCGGAUAUUUAAGUGAGAUGUGAAAUCCCCGAGCUCAACUUGGGGGCUGCAUUUCAAACUGGGUAUCUAGAGUGCAGGAGAGGAAAGCGGAAUUCCUAGUGUAGCGGUGAAAUGCGUAGAGAUUAGGAAGAACAUCAGUGGCGAAGGCGGCUUUCUGGACUGUAACUGACGCUGAGGCAUGAAAGCGUGGGGAGCAAACA